UGAGCGUGUGACCCUAUUUGGUAGUAGGUAAGCGAUGGAGAGACGCAGGAAGGUAGCCUCCGCGUGGCGAUGGUUGUCCACGUCCAAGCAUGUAAGGCGACAUCUAGGUAAAUCCGGGUGUCAUGUAGCCCCAGGUGUGAUGGUGACCCCGUAUGGGGGAAGAGGGUGAUCCUAUGCUGUCGAGAAAAUCUUCUAGCGAGGUUCGAGCCGCCCGUACCCUAAACCGACUCAGGUGGUUAGGUAGAGAAUACCAAGGCGAUCGAGUGAAUCAUGGUUAAGGAAUUCGGCAAAAUGCCCCCGUAACUUCGGGAGAAGGGGGGCCUGGAUCGUGAUCCCACUUGCUGGGGGAGCGUGAAUGGCCGCAGAGACCAGGGAGAAGCGACUGUUUACUAAAAACACAGGUCCGUGCGAAGAAGUAAUUCGAUGUAUACGGACUGACGCCUGCCCGGUGCUGGAACGUUAAGGGGACCGGUUAGCUCUUCGGAGCGAAGCUGAGAACUUAAGCGCCAGUAAACGGCGGUGGUAACUAUAACCAUCCUAAGGUAGCGAAAUUCCUUGUCGGGUAAGUUCCGACCUGCACGAAUGGCGUAACGACUUCUCCACUGUCUCAACCAUGAACUCGGCGAAAUUGCAUUACGAGUAAAGAUGCUCGUUACGCGCAGAAGGACGGAAAGACCCCGGGACCUUUACUAUAGCUUGGUAUUGGCGUUCGGUACGGCUUGUGUAGGAUAGGUGGGAGACUGUGAAGCAUGCACGCCAGUGUGUGUGGAGUCAUCGUUGAAAUACCACUCUGGUCGUUCUGGAUGUCUAACUUCGGUCCGUGAUCCGGAUCAGGGACAGUGCCUGGUGGGUAGUUUAACUGGGGCGGUUGCCUCCUAAAGGGUAACGGGGGCGCCCAAAGGUUCCCUCAGCCUGGUUGGCAAUCAGGUGUUGAGUGUAAGUGCACAAGGGAGCUUGACUGUGAGACAGACAUGUCGAGCAGGGACGAAAGACGGGACUAGUGAUCCGGCCAUGGCUUGUGGAAGCGUGGUCGCUCAACGGAUAAAAGGUACCCCGGGGAUAACAGGCUGAUCUUGCCCAAGAGUCCAUAUCGACGGCAUGGUUUGGCACCUCGAUGUCGGCUCGUCGCAUCCUGGGGGUGGAGUUGCUCCCAAGGGUUGGGCUGUUCGCCCAUUAAAGCGGUACGCGAGCUGGGUUUAGAACGUCGUGAGACAGUUCGGUCCCUAUCCUCUGUGCGCGUAGGAAACUUGAGAAGGGCUGUCCCUAGUACGAGAGGACCGGGAUGGACGAACCUCUGGUGUGUCAGUUGUUCUGCCAAGGGCACCGCUGAUUAGCUACGUUCGGUAGUGAUAACCGCUGAAAGCAUCUAAGCGGGAAGCAUGCUUCAAGAUGAGGUUUCCAUGGACUUCGGUCCGAGAGGCUCCCAGCUAGACUACUGGGUUGAUAGGCCAGAUGUGGAAGCACAGUAAUGUGUGUAGCUGACUGGUACUAAUAAGCCGAUAACUUGAUCAA
rnacentral:rRNA from 1 species